AGAAUUACCAAGAUCUCAAGAGCUUGAGGAACCUCAAGGAUGAUCUCAUUCAGCUGUUUCAUUUUGUAAAGGAUAUUCACAAAUAACCGAACGAGGUUUAAAGGCCUUGGGUAUAGUGAGUCCAAUGGAAACAUUGGUUGGGCUUGUUGUGAUCUGCUUACACCAGCCUGUGGCAACGGUAAUAAUGGAUUUUGAGCCAAGGAAACAUUAAGUGUCUGUAGAAUUGAGAAGGCAGUUUAACACACUGAUCAUAUCUCCAGUAAUUGGAAUCUGAAAUAAGCUGUUGUAAAAGGAUGCAUUCCAACUGCCAUCUGACAAUUCACAUGCUGGUUUGUCCCAGGCAUUACAAGAAUUACAUGACCUGAGUAAAGGAUUGUGACCUAAAACUUAUAGGGUAAGUAUAAGAGGGUCAAACUCCCUCGGAGAGACUCUGGCUGCUUUUUGCCAGUGACUUGUGGGAUCACCUGCA